UUCCGUAUCGAAUCUAGCUAUCAUCGCUUGCUUAAAUCUUCGUAAUUUGUUAUAUUCUUUGUUUUCAUGUUAUUAUACGCAAAGUCCCUAGCUAUUCGUGAUAAUUUAAUUUUUGCGACUCUCAAACGUUCUGCGGCAUUCCAGCCAUGUAAUUCAGCUACUUCUUCGAUUUGCGUGAAAAAGGAACGAACCUUAGAACCUAGCUCUCCGUUAAACGUUGGUAAUACCGUUCCUAACAUCAUGAAAGAUGUCAUCAUUUCCGGUGGACCUCCAACAACUUCACCCUCACUUUCUAUCCUUCUCGUCGUAUGAA
rnacentral:lncRNA from 1 species